rnacentral:rRNA from 1 species
AACGAACGCUGGCGGCAUGCCUAACACAUGCAAGUCGAACGAGACCUUCGGGUCUAGUGGUGCACGGGUGCGUAACACGUGGGAAUUUGCCUCGGGGUAUGGAAUAACUCAGGGAAACUUGAGCUAAUACCAUAUAAUGUCUUCGGACCAAAGAUUUAUCGCCCUGAGAUAAGCCCGCGUAGGAUUAGCUAGUUGGUGGGGUAAAGGCUCACCAAGGCGACGAUCCUUAGCUGGUCUGAGAGGAUGAUCAGCCACACUGGGACUGAGACACGGCCCAGACUCCUACGGGAGGCAGCAGUGGGGAAUAUUGGACAAUGGGCGAAAGCCUGAUCCAGCAAUGCCGCGUGAGUGAUGAAGGCCUUCGGGUUGUUAAAGGACUCUUUACUUCGG